UACGUAGGGUGCAAGCGUUAAUCGGAUUUACUGGGCGUAAAGGGCGUGCAGGCGGUCUGUUAAGUUCAGGGUGAAAGCUCCCGGCUCAACUGGGAGAGGGCCUUGGAUACUGGCAGACUUGAGGGAGGUAGAGGAGACCGGAAUUCACGGUGUAGCAGUGAAAUGCGUAGAUAUCGUGAGGAAGACCAGUUGCGAAAGCGGGUCUCUGGGCAAUUCCUGACGCUGAGGCACGAAGGCUAGGGGAGCAAACGGG
rnacentral:rRNA from 1 species